rnacentral:rRNA from 1 species
GUGAGGAAUAUUGGUCAAUGGGCGAGAGCCUGAACCAGCCAAGUAGCGUGAAGGAUGACCGCCCUAUGGGUUGUAAACUUCUUUUGUGUGGGAAUAAAGUGAGCCACGUGUGGCUUUUUGUAUGUACCAUACGAAUAAGGAUCGGCUAACUCCGUGCCAGCAGCCGCGGUAAUACGGAGGAUCCGAGCGUUAUCCGGAUUUAUUGGGUUUAAAGGGAGCGUAGGCGGGAUGCUAAGUCAGUUGUGAAAGUUUGCGGCUCAACCGUAAAAUUGCAGUUGAUACUGGCGUCCUUGAGUGCGGCAGAGGCAGGCGGAAUUCGUGGUGUAGCGGUGAAAUGCUUAGAUAUCACGAAGAACUCCGAUUACGAAGGCAGCUUGCUGGACCGUAACUGACGCUGAUGCUCGAAAGUGCGGGUAUCAAACAGG